rnacentral:SRP_RNA from 1 species
GCUGGGUGUGAUGGCUCACGCCUGUAAUCCCAGCACUCUGGGAGGCUGAGACGGGUGGAUCACCUGAGGUCAGGAGUUCGAGACCAGCCUGGCCAACAUGGUAAAACUCCGUCUCUA